CAGAGACAUCUAAAACCAGUAAUUUAGACAAGCAAAGUAUUAAAGGAACAAAUACCCUGCGCAAGUCAAACUCUGCCUUGAAGAAACGUGUGCCCAAAGGGCAGCCUAAACCUACAACAUUAGACAAGAAAGGUGUUGGCCUUCCAAAUAAUCUGGUUUCUUCAACAUCUGCCUCCAGUAAGCACAGGUUUAAAGGCUGAGUGUGAAAACUCAGAUGAAAAGGAUUUUAAACUCCCAAAUAAUCUGUGCCCUUCUGCCUCUACUACAAGGAAGCAUCUCCUUAAAGCAUUAAAUACUAUUCUGUGACAGUGGGCUGCACAUCCAGACUUGAGAGAAAGAGUCCCAAGGGCAAGCAUCAGGAAGCUGUUCAUGGACACAGUGAGGCAGAGUGACCUGGGAACCGAUAUGUGGGGAGCCUGUGAGUGGACAAUGCUUACGGAACAGCAGUGCACAAGACCCCUGAUGACCAGGGAAGGACCAGAUCAUGAGAGUCCUUCAAAGGCAACAGAACCCCACUUCACUCUUUGGAACAGCCUGAACCUCCAAGAUCACCCUCUUGUUGCUGACAUUCCAACUUGCUCUGCCGAGAUAAGAUCCCUACAGUACCUUCUGGUGUGGUGUAAACGCAAUUAAACGACAUUUGUGCUC